UUCGUUUCUCGACCUUUUGGCUAAGGUCAAGGUGUACUAUCAGUUCCUUUCAGCUUAAUUUCUAGUAAGACUUUUAAACAGGGAGUCCAGUAUAUUAAACUGAUUAUAUAUUUU
rnacentral:snRNA from 13 species